UCCGGCUUAUCACCGGCAGUUUCUUUAGAGUGCUCAACUAAAUGGUGGCAACUAAAGACGAGGGUUGCGCUCGUUGCGGGACUUAACCCAACAUCUCACGACACGAGCUGACGACAGCCAAGCAGCACCUGUGUUACGGCUCCCUUUCGGGCACACCCCCAUCUCUACCCCUUUCCGCACAUGUCAAGGGUAGGUAAGGUUUUUCGCGUUGCAUCGAAUUAAUCCACAUAAUCCACCGCUUGUGCGGGUCCCCGUCAAUCCCUUUGAGUUUUAACCUUGCGGCCGUACUCCCCAGGCGGUCAACUUCACGCGUUAGCUUCGUUACCAAGGAAUUACUUCCCCGACAACUAGCUGACAUCGUUUAGGGCGUGGACUAC
rnacentral:misc_RNA from 1 species